AUGCAAAUUUCUAUUUUCAGAUGCUUGAUCCUGGCAAAUAAUCGGGGUGGUAAUAACGGCCCGUCAAUCAUCAUAGGAUUUCAUUUCUUGCUUUUGCUCUCAUGUCAACCAACCAACCAGCAGGUGACGAUGUCGAUGUGGCUAUGUUGACAGACACAUUAUUCUACAUCACUAGAACGUCUAGCAUAGAAGAUAGUUUGGAUUUUUCUUUCGCCAAUCUGGAGAGACUGGUGCCAUGAGUACAAUCGUCUUAUUUUCAUUUGUUCUUCAUGGGUUUGUGGCUAAUUGUUUCUUGUUGCGUCAGGUGAGACGCGUGCAAGGCACCAGCUUAUAACCUGUUCUUUUGGGACCUGUGUUAAACAAAGGACGCUUUGACAUUCCUGGAGAGCCGGGUUGCGUAGAAUAAGGUGAGUGCGAAAAGAAGAAGAGAAGAAAAAGGAGAGAAGAAAUGUAAAUAAAUAAAAAAAAAAUAAACAAAACCUUAUACUGCGGAGUCAGGGUCUAGCCCCCUAUCUGUGUUGGAUGGGUGAGACUUCUGGUUUUUGGGUUAGCAAUAUCGCUGAACGAGGGG
rnacentral:sRNA from 2 species